rnacentral:rRNA from 1 species
AGAAUCAACGCUGGCGGCGCGCUUAACACAUGCAAGUCGCACGAGAAAGUGGAGCAAUCCAUGAGUACAGUGGCGUACGGGUGAGUAACACGUGGAUCAUCUACCUUCUAGUGGGGAAUACCCCCGGGAAACUGGGGACAAUACCGCAUAAGCUCAUAAGAGGAAAGCAGCAAUGCGCUGGAAGAGGAGUCCGCGGCUGAUUAGCUAGUUGGCGGGGUAACGGCCCACCAAGGCGAAGAUCGGUAGCCGGCCUGAGAGGGCACACGGCCACACUGGCACUGAAACACGGGCCAGACUCCUACGGGAGGCAGCAGUGGGGAAUCUUGCACAAUGGAGGAAACUCUGAUGCAGCGACGCCGCGUGAGCGAUGAAGCCCUUCGGGGUGUAAAGCUCUUUCGACGGGAACGAUAAUGACGGUACCCGAAGAAGAAGCUGCGGCUAACUACGUGCCAGCAGCCGCGGUAAUACGUAGGCAGCAAGCGUUGUUCGGAAUUACUGGGCGUAAAGAGUGUGUAGGCGGUGUUCUAAGUUUGUCGUGAAAUCUCCCGGCUUAACUGGGAGGGUGCGGCGAAAACUGGAAUGCUAGAGGAUGGGAGAGGUAAGCGGAAUUCCUGGUGUAGCGGUGAAAUGCGUAGAUAUCAGGAGGAACACCUGUGGUGUAGACAGCUUACUGGACCAUUUCUGACGCUGAGACACGAAAGCGUGGGUAGCAAACAGGAUUAGAUACCCUGGUAGUCCACGCCCUAAACGAUGCAUACUUGGUGUGAGCGAUUCAUUUCGUUCGUGCCGGAGCUAACGCGUUAAGUAUGCCGCCUGGGGAGUACGGUCGCAAGGCUGAA